AGGACGAACGGCUGGCGGCGUGCCUAACACAUGCAAGUCGAACGGACUGAUUCCUUCGGGAAUGAAAGUUAGUGGCGGACGGGUGAGUAACGCGUGAGCAACCUGCCUUUCAGAGGGGAAUAACGUUUGGAAACAGACGCUAAUACCGCAUAACGCAUAGGUGUCGCAUGGCAUUUAUGCCAAAGGAGCAAUCCGCUGAAAGAUGGGCUCGCGUCCGAUUAGAUAGUUGGUGGGGUAACGGCCUACCAAGUCGACGAUCGGUAGCCGGACUGAGAGGUUGAACGGCCACAUUGGGACUGAGACACGGCCCAGACUCCUACGGGAGGCAGCAGUGGGGGAUAUUGCACAAUGGGCGAAAGCCUGAUGCAGCAACGCCGCGUGAGGGAUGACGGUUUUCGGAUUGUAAACCUCUGUCUUUGGUGACGAACAAAUGACGGUAGCCGAGGAGGAAGCCACGGCUAACUACGUGCCAGCCGCAGC
rnacentral:rRNA from 1 species